rnacentral:rRNA from 1 species
UACGGGGGGGGCAAGCGUUGUUCGGAAUUACUGGGCGUAAAGGGCUCGUAGGCGGCCAACUAAGUCAGACGUGAAAUCCCUCGGCUUAACCGGGGAACUGCAUCUGAUACUGGAUGGCUUGAGUUCGGGAGAGGGAUGCGGAAUUGCAGGUGUAGCGGUGAAAUGCGUAGAUAUCUGGAGGAACACCGGUGGCGAAGGCGGCAUCCGGGACCGACACUGACGCUGAGGAGCGAAAGCCAGGGGAGCAAACGGG